rnacentral:rRNA from 1 species
GACGAACGCUGGCGGCGUGCUUUACACAUGCAAGUCGAACGGUGAAGGUGGAGCUUGCUCCGCCGGAUCAGUGGCGAACGGGUGAGUAACAUGUGGGCAACCUGCCCCUAACUUUGGGAUAACUACUCGAAAGAGUAGCUAAUACCGGAUAUGAAGUCUGUAGGCAUCUACGGAUUCGGAAAGUUUUUCGGUUAGGGAUGGGCCCGCGGCCUAUCAGCUUGUUGGUGAGGUAGUGGCUCACCAAGGCGACGACGGGUAGCCGGCCUGAGCGGGCGACCGGCCACACUGGGACUGAGACACGGCCCAGACUCCUACGGGAGGCAGCAGUGGGGAAUAUUGCGCAAUGGGCGAAAGCCUGACGCAGCAACGCCGCGUGCGGGAUGAAGGCCUUCGGGUUGUAUACCGCUUUCAGCAGGGAAGAAGCGAAAGUGACGGUACCUGCAGAAGAAGCACCGGCUAACUACGUGCCAGCCGCCGCCGCAG